rnacentral:rRNA from 1 species
AUACGUAGGGGGCGAGCGUUGUCCGGAAUGAUUGGGCGUAAAGGGCGCGUAGGCGGCGCGGUAAGUCUGGAGUGAAAGUCCUGCUUUCAAGGUGGGAAUUGCUUUGGAUACUGGGGGGCUUGAGUGCAGGAGAGGUUAUCGGAAAUCCCGGUGUAGCGGUGAAAUGCGUAGAGAUCGGGAGGAACACCAGUGGCGAAGGCGGGUAACUGGACUGCAACUGACGCUGAGGCGCGAAAGUGUGGGGAGCAAACAGGAUUAGAUACCCUGGUAGUCCACACUGUAAACGAUGAAUGCUAGGUGUAAGAGGUAUCGACCCCUUUUGUGCCGGAGUCAACACAAUAAGCAUUCCGCCUGGGGAGUACGGCCGCAAGGUUGAAACUCAAAGGAAUUGACGGGG